CCAUGAAGGGGAAAGGGACCUAUAUCUUUUCCUGCCGGAGGCUUCGGCCUUGGCUAUGGCGAUAAACGGUAGAUGGAAUAAGUGUUGUGGACCCGGGGGCAGUGCCCGGCGUCUCCACCAUCAGCCCGCAGGGGCUGACGCUAUGGGGACGAAACAGGCUCGACACGCAUGGUAAAGAUCUACUUUUUGCCCGGUAUUGUUCCGCCGUCAUCGGGCUGACUUUACAAGUGCCAACGAUAACUCUGAGGUGCUCGCUGUUGCUGCAUAAGCGAUAAGCGCGGUCCGGGGGGUGCACCGGGCAACAGAAGCCCCC
rnacentral:tmRNA from 1 species